GAUGAACGCUGGCGGCGUGCCUAAUACAUGCAAGUCGAGCGAACGGAUAAGGAGCUUGCUCCUUUGAAGUUAGCGGCGGACGGGUGAGUAACACGUGGGUAACCUACCCAUAAGACUGGAAUAACUUCGGGAGACCGGAGCUAAUGCCGGAUAACAUUUGGAACUGCAUGGUUCUAAAGUAAAAGAUGGUUUUGCUAUCACUUAUAGAUGGACCCGCGCCGUAUUAGCUAGUUGGUAAGGUAACGGCUUACCAAGGCAACGAUACGUAGCCGACCUGAGAGGGUGAGCGGCCACACUGGAACUGAUACCCGGUCCAGACUCCUACGGGAGGCAGCAGUAGGGAAUCUUCCGCAAUGGACGAAAGUCUGACGGAGCAACGCCGCGUGAGUGAUGAAGGUUUUCGGAUCGUAAAACUCUGUUAUUAGGGAAGAACAAAUGUGUAAGUAACUGUGCACAUCUUGACGGUACCUAAUCAGAAAGCCACGGCUAACUACGUGCCAGCCGCCGCCGUAA
rnacentral:rRNA from 1 species